CAGCAGCCGCGGGAAAACGUAGGUGGCAAGCGUUGUCCGGAAUUAUUGGGCGUAAAGGGCUCGCAGGCGGUUUCUUAAGUCUGAUGUGAAAGCCCCCGGCUCAACCGGGGAGGGUCAUUGGAAACUGGGAAACUUGAGUGCAGAAGAGGAGAGCGGAAUUCCACGUGUAGCGGUGAAAUGCGUAGAGAUGUGGAGGAACACCAGUGGCGAAGGCGACUCUCUGGUCUGUAACUGACGCUGAGGAGCGAAAGCGUGGGGAGCGAACAGGAUUAGAUACCCGCGUAGUCCCUGUCUCUUAUAC
rnacentral:rRNA from 1 species